AGAGUUUGAUCUUGGCUCAGAUUGAACGCUGGCGGCAUGCCUUACACAUGCAAGUCGAACGGUAACAGGUCUUCGGAUGCUGACGAGUGGCGAACGGGUGAGUAAUACAUCGGAACGUGCCCGAGAGUGGGGGAUAACGAAGCGAAAGCUUUGCUAAUACCGCAUACGAUCUCAGGAUGAAAGCAGGGGACCGCAAGGCCUUGCGCUCACGGAGCGGCCGAUGGCAGAUUAGGUAGUUGGUGGGAUAAAAGCUUACCAAGCCGACGAUCUGUAGCUGGUCUGAGAGGACGACCAGCCACACUGGGACUGAGACAUGGCCCAGACUCCUACGGGAGGCAGCAGUGGGGAAUUUUGGACAAUGGGCGCAAGCCUGAUCCAGCCAUGCCGCGUGCAGGAUGAAGGCCUUCGGGUUGUAAACUGCUUUUGUACGGAACGAAAAGACUCUGGUUAAUACCUGGGGUCCAUGACGGUACCGUAAGAAUAAGCACCGGCUAACUACGUGCCAGCAGCCGCGGUAAUACGUAGGGUGCGAGCGUUAAUCGGAAUUACUGGGCGUAAAGCGUGCGCAGGCGGUUAUGUAAGACAGAUGUGAAAUCCCCGGGCUCAACCUGGGAACUGCAUUUGUGACUGCGUAGCUAGAGUACGGCAGAGGGGGAUGGAAUUCCGCGUGUAGCAGUGAAAUGCGUAGAUAUGCGGAGGAACACCGAUGGCGAAGGCAAUCCCCUGGGCCUGUACUGACGCUCAUGCACGAAAGCGUGGGGAGCAAACAGG
rnacentral:rRNA from 1 species